UGUUUUUGUAGUCUUACCACUACGACGUAUUAAAUUAAAAUUUGAUGUUACAAGAUGUUAUCGUGUUCAUUCUGUUAAUCUCAAAAUGUGACGAUAAAAGUUGGUUGAACAUUUUUUCUCAGACUUGACUUAAUAUUGGACAUUUAAAACCCCUAGCAGUUUUUUCGAAUUAGUGGUAUAAGAUUUAAAAAAAGAAAUACAUU